rnacentral:rRNA from 1 species
UACGUAGGGUGCAAGCGUUGUCCGGAAUUAUUGGGCGUAAAGAGCUCGUAGGCGGUUUGUCGCGUCGGAUGUGAAAACCCGGGGCUCAACCCCGGGCCUGCAUUCGAUACGGGCAGACUAGAGUUCGGUAGGGGAGUCUGGAAUUCCUGGUGUAGCGGUGAAAUGCGCAGAUAUCAGGAAGAACACCGGUGGCGAAGGCGGGUCUCUGGGCCGAUACUGACGCUGAGGAGCGAAAGCGUGGGGAGCGAACAGG